rnacentral:rRNA from 1 species
UACAGAGGUCUCAAGCGUUGUUCGGAUUCAUUGGGCGUAAAGGGUGCGUAGGUGGCAGGGUAAGUCGGAUGUGAAAUCCCGGGGCUCAACCUCGGAACUGCAUUCGAUACUGCUUUGCUUGAGUACUGGAGAGGAGAUUGGAAUUUACGGUGUAGCAGUGAAAUGCGUAGAUAUCGUAAGGAAGACCAGUGGCGAAGGCGGAUCUCUGGACAGUUCCUGACACUGAGGCACGAAGGCCAGGGGAGCAAACGGG